GCAGCUCUCGGGUACAUGUGAUAACCUGUCUUUGUUUAGAGAGCUUUACGCUGGAAAGGACAAGAAAAUAUCUCGGCCAAACCCUGCUUAUGACGCUGACUUCUCUCACACGAGUCAGGAAACCAUGAGUGGCCUACAAAUAGAAUUCCCUGCCUUGCUCUGAAAAUGCACACCCUUGGACUUGGCUUCUCCCAGUGACCAGCUUCUCAAAGACAAGAAAGGAAGGAAGCUCUCACACCUGUUUUGGUUUCAGAGGCGGAAGGGAUUCUGAGCCCCAGAGGAAGCUUUGAAAAGGUGAUACACUGAAAGCAUCCUCAAGACUAUGGCAAAUCCAGCAUCAAAACGGGAAGCAGAAGCUGCCAGGUCAUUUCAGAGCCACGCUGAGAACUGGCAGUGUCCCUUCCACUCUAUUCCAUCGGUCAAAGCAGC